UUAAAUUGACAUCAGUUUUUUUUUAUUGAAUAAUUGUGAAACAAAUUUAACUCCAUAUUUUCUGCUGCAGUGACUCGAUAAUGAUGUCGUGAUACACGAACCACAGCUUCCCUCUGCCGCCACCUAGUGGAUAAAAGCUUGACGUUUUACCGCUUCUACAUUGCAACUCAGUGACGCAUUGGCCAUACCUCGAAACUUCUGAAAUGAGGACCUUUUAACAUCUUUAAAGCAAAAUGAAUAUCUUAUACGAUAUAAAUUAACAUCUUUCUUGAGUAUAAAUCCAGGGCGAAGACCAAAGACUACUUUUCAGCAUUUUACGUUGAAAAAACAGGAAAAUGACAGCACAAAAAAUAACGUGACCUGUGUCAAGGUACAACUCAAACAGUCGCGCGGCGCUUCUUUCUCACACAGUUAACUGCUAGUUUACAAUUUUUAUUUUUUGGCUAAUUAGGUUUUUGCUACAAACGGAACAAAAAAAAAAUAAAUAAAUCAGGACCCUGAAGUUUUCGAGUACCGGGUCCCGCCAUGAACUGUUUGUGAAGUGAUAAAUACGAAGUUCCACAUCUGCCGACUGCUUGCGCUACUUCCAGUGAGCGAUUCUGUGUCUGGAGCCUCUGACUCGUGUAAUAGGAUCCAUCCUACAGACGAUGCUGUAUUUAUCAUCAUUGCUCCUGUUUUGUUCUCAACCAGCUCUGUUGUUUAUUUGACCUUUUGGGAAACAUUUCCAGUUUUUCAGAAUAUACGGAAGACUGAUGUCCCACAGCAAGCAGAGAGCUCGGUGACGGUGGAGGAUGUGGACGCGACUCUCAGGCACAGCAGCGACGGUGGUCCUUGGACAGUAGGACAGCACUGGUGAGUUUGACGUGUUCUUAAUUUAAAUGGUGUGGUGUCUAUGUUAGUUAUGGACACAGCUGUUUUGACCGGCUUCUUAUGUAGCAUUCAAGCGCUAACCUCGUGGUGCAUUAAAGUACACCUCGUACAUUAUAACGUUUUAAAAUAAUUUUGCUUAAAUGAUUUAUUUCACCACAUUGUCAUUUAAAACUUCUUAGCUAACAUGAUUAAUAAUGUUUAUUCUGACCAAAAUUACAAUUACUUCUACAUUGAUUAGUGUUUUAAAAAACCUGAAGAAAUGUUCUUUUAAAUAUGACUAAACGUAGUCUGACAACUUGGGGGCACUCACAAAGCUUUGAAAUCUCUCUUGUAGUAAUUGAACAAGGAAAUGUUGCGGACCUAUUAAUGAUGCUGAAGAACACUGAAUUCCACAGCCUUUUCAGAUUAAGAUUCAUGUGACAUGUUAAUUAUAUAUGGGAAGAUAGAAAACACCAUAACAGCUCAAUGACUGCCAUUUCCUGCAUGUCAUGUCUUUUCCACGUUCCAUCUUAGCAAUAUGUUUCACACAGGAAGAUAAUUGGUGGUGUGCCAUCUGCUACUACAUUUCCCCUGUAAACCUUUUCAGUUUCUGUGUUAAUAGCUGACAUGCUGACAUUUACAAAUAUGUCAAAAGUUGAAACAUUUGUAAAAAAAAAAAAAAAAAAGUGAUCUCAUAAAUUUGAGAUUGGAGUUGUCUUAAAAUGGUAGAAGUCCAUUUUGUGAACUGUUAGACCUAGCGUCCAGCUAAUCUGAAUUUAUACCAAGAUGUGUUGCAGAGGGAGUUAUUGACUCCAGAUAAGAUAUUAACUGCUUCUAAUCUUUUUAACUCAUUUUAACUUUUUAACUUUCCCUUUAAUAACUUGAACACGUUAGCCUAUAUUUUGCUGCUUCUCAAACUCAGAUCCACUAAAUGCAGGAAGAUGAGGAGAAUGUCUGGGCUUUGCUACUUUUGAGCUGCUUAGCAACGGGCGAAAAUAGGGUUUAAAAAAUAGUUGUUGAGCUUUACUCUUUCAUUGCUGAAGUGUGCUGUCAUUGGUCCUUUUGGGCUCAUUAAUUUCAAUGAAUGUUGACUUGGAAUAGAUGAAUUCAUGAACUCAAAUAUUCUGCACAGGUGCAUGCUUAACAUCUGUAAUAUGUGCACAAAAAUGAUAUAUUCUGCAGCAAAUGAUACCCAGACUAGUACAUUCAACCAGCUGCAUGCGGGACUUUUGUCAGAAGAAAUAAAGACAAAGUAAAACAGUACAAAAGCUCAAAUAAAGUCUAAAGAAUGUGCAAUUAAUCUGAUUCAUAUUUUAAUUUAAAUGUUGUACUUUGUACAUAUAUGCUAAAAUUAUUUUUGCCACAUUCUGCUUUGCAGAAUGUUGUUAUAGUGCAAUAAAUCCAAACUCAAUAAGUAAUCAUGUUAAAUAAUCAUAAUUUUUGUUUUCUUUUUCUUUUUUUUUCCAUAAUCGGGCAGUUCUACUACAUCCAUAUUGCAUGCAACACCAGACUACAGCCAACUGUGGUUUAGUUUGAACAACCUUCUGAGCUGUGCAGUCCAAAAAUCCUUAUCUAAAAUCAUGAAGGUGCCCUCCUUAAAUGCAAUUGAUCUUUUUCUCUUUAAGUGAAGUUUGUGAUUAUCACACAUCUUAACUUAGAAAUCACUCUGCGUAGACAUCAGACAAAAAAAAAAGUCAAUUAUAAUGAAAAGGGAAGUUCAAAAGUUUGAGCACAUCCCUUCAUUAUGGAGAAUAACCCAGGAAGUGUAAAUUUGACACAUUUCUGUGAAACUCCAUAAACCUCCUCGAGCAGUCAUUUGAAUAAACAAUUUCCAUAUAAUUAUUCUUAUAUGCAAACGAUCUGUAGAAUAAAUGGGGAAAAACAGGAUAUUGAACAUAAUCAGAAACAGCUGCAGCUCUCUGUAUUUAUACAAAGCACCAUAUGGGGGUUCAGUAAACUUAGACUGCAUGUGAUGCCUUUGUGAAUUUUCUGACAUGACUGAAAAGACAAAACUAUGAUUGCGGUGGCUCCAAUUGUACAUCAUGCAACAUCCACGUAUAUUUUGUCCCGUAUGCCAUUUUUAUCAGCCGGAACACUAACCUCAUAAAUCUUGUUAAUGGUUUUCACCUGUUCUGCAGUUUGGGUCUGUAUUUUUAAUUGUUCUUUACUCUUUUUUUUUACUUUUUUUUUUCCAUAGUUU